CAUUACCGAAUUGUCAACAGGAGUUGUUGCUGGUCCUCAAAUGGGGGCAUGUGCACGCUCUGUUCACACAUCCACUCACACCCUGUGCACCCUCUGUAGUUCUAUGGUUGGGGGACCCGUCCUCCUGCUAUGGUUCUGCGUUUUUACACACACAUUGUAACAAAGUCUUAUGGAAUGCAUGUCGCGUUUAACGCAAUACAAUACAACUUUCAGCAACGGAUCUCUUGGCUCUCGCAUCGAUGAAGAACGCAGCGAAAUGCGAUAAGUAAUGUGAAUUGCAGAAUUCAGUGAAUCAUCGAAUCUUUGAACGCACCUUGCGCCCUUUGGCCAUUCCGAAGGGCAUGCCUGUUUGAGUAUCAUGAACACCUCAACUCUUCAUGGUUUUCCAUGAUGAGUUUGGACUUUGGGGGUUUUGCUGGCCCUACGGUCAGCUCCUCUGAAAUAAAUCAGCUUGCCAGUGUUUGGUGGGUAUCAUAGGUGUGAUAACUAUCUACGCUUGUGGUUCUUCCACCAGGUAACCUUCAGCAGUGGAGGUUCACUGGAGCUCACAGACGUCUCUCCUCAGCGAGGACAGCCCUUUGAAUGUUUGAUCUCAAAUCAGGUAGGACUACCCGCUGAACUUAAGCAUAUCAAU
rnacentral:rRNA from 1 species